rnacentral:snoRNA from 1 species
ACAACACAUAAAACAUAUGUUCCUUCAUAUUCACUCCGGUUUCCGUCUACUGCAAUGACAUUCUGGAGGGGAAAGUGGAGGAUAGAAGAGAAUUUUUCAAGCUCUUACCCUCUACCUUUGUUCUUCUCUGUCGAGGAGUAGAGAAAUAUUUUGCCUGGGACAUUU